UGGGGAAUAUUGGGCAAUGGGCGCAAGCCUGACCCAGCCAUGCCGCGUGAGUGAUGAAGGCCUUCGGGUCGUAAAGCUCUGUGGGGAGGGACGAAACAGCAUGUGGCUAACAUCCACGUGUCUUGACGGUACCUCCUUAGCAAGCACCGGCUAACUCCGUGCCAGCAGCCGCGGUAAUACGGAGGGUGCAAACGUUGCUCGGAAUCAUUGGGCGUAAAGCGCACGUAGGCGGCUUGUUAAGUCGGGUGUGAAAUCCCUGGGCUCAACCCAGGAAGUGCACUCGAAACUGGCGAGCUUGAAUAUGGAAGAGGGUCGCGGAAUUCCCGGUGUAGAGGUGAAAUUCGUAGAUAUCGGGAGGAACACCAGUGGCGAAGGCGGCGACCUGGGCCAAUAUUGACGCUGAGGUGCGAAAGCGUGGGGAGCAAACAGGAUUAGAUACCCCCGUAGUCC
rnacentral:rRNA from 1 species